rnacentral:RNase_P_RNA from 1 species
CACAGGCAGUUGCGCACGAAUGUGUGAGGAAAGUCCGAGCAGCGCAGAGCAGGAUAACGGCUAACGGCCGCCGAGGGUGACCUUAGGGAAAGUGCAACAGAAAUAUACCGCCGCUUUUGCGGUAAGGGUGGAAAGGCGAGGUAAGAGCUCACCGAGAGGGCGGAGACGUCCUCUGCCAUGUAAACCCUAUCCGCUGCAACGUCGACUGAAGGGUUGUCUGCUCGACACAUAACUUCGAAGGACGGCUUGAGCGUACGGGUAACCGUGCGUCGAGAUAGAUAACUGCCCACGACAGAACUCGGCUUACGUG